ACCUAUUAAACGUGAUGACCAUGGCAGAUCGAAAGUAUAAGUGAACGGGCAGAAGUCUCCAAAAACAAUGCCUUACAGCUAAGGGAAAAACUGGGAAAUAUAAGAAACCAAAGUGACUCUGAAGAAGAAAACAUCAAUCUUUUCAUCAAAAAAGUGAAAAACUUUUUGUUAGAGGAAAACGUGCCUCCAGAAGACAUCGAGAAGGUUGCGAAUGGUGUGCUUGACAUUCACCUACCAAUUCCAUCCCAAAAUCUAACCGAUGAACUUGACAAAAUACAGAAACAUAUGCAACUCUGUGAGGAUUACAGGACAGAUGAAAACAGGUUAAAUGAAGAAGCAGAUGGAGCCCAAAAGCUUUUGGUGAAGGCCAAAGCAGCUGAGAAAGCAGCAAAUAUUCUAUUAAAUCUUGACAAAACAUUGAACCAGUUACAAAAAGCUCAAAUCACUCAAGGAUGGGCAAACUCUACCAUUACACAGCUGACUGCCAAUGUAACAAAAAUAAAAAAGAAUGUGCUGCAGGCUGAAAAUCAAACCAGGGAAAUGAAGAGUGAGCU
rnacentral:sRNA from 1 species